rnacentral:rRNA from 1 species
GACGAACGCUGGCGGCGUGCUUAACACAUGCAAGUCGAGCGGAGCGGCGAACGGGUGAGUAACGCGUGAGUAACUGCCCCCCUCUCUGGGAUAACAGUUGGAAACGGCUGCUAAUACCGGAUAGUGGGGGAUGGCUCGCGGCCUAUCAGCUUGUUGGUGGGGUGAUGGCCUACCAAGGCUUUGACGGGUAACCGGCCUGAGAGGGUGACCGGUCACAUUGGGCUGGGAUACGGCCCAGACUCCUACGGGAGGCAGCAGUGGGGAAUUUUGCACAAUGGGCGCAAGCCUGAUGCAGCGACGCCGCGUGAGGGAUGAAGGCCUUCGGGUUGUAAACCUUUUGCGCUCAUGGUCGGGUAGUGGGUAAAGAAGCGCCGGCUAACUACGUGCCAGCAGCCGCGGUAAUUC